GUGCAGCAGCAGCUUUUUGUCUCUCUCACACUGCUCCAACUCCAGAACAAGCAGAGAUGGAAAAUUGUUUCCAGAGGCACUACAGAGCAGCAAGUAGGCAGGCUGGUGGAAUAUCAGUCAUGUCAACUACAGUCAGUUGGUCCCCAUGACUGAAGACUUGUGGCCUUGCUCUGACUCCUGCUCCUCACUCCAUUCAGACAUUGUCUGAGCUGGAAGGCACUGUGGCUCUCCUUCCCUUAGAGUAGCUCUCCAGGAGCUGAUGCCAGGCACUCUGAUCAGAUCAACAUGCAUGGAAUCAGUGUCCUGAGUGACAAAAUCCCAACACUUUUCAGAUGCUGUGUAGGAGGAGCUCUGGGUCUUCUCCAACGAAGACACGUUAUUACAGAUGAAUUUUUUACCUAACCUGAGCAAGCCACUGUACUAACGGUGACUGGAGACUAUGUCACGGCAAGGACCCCAGUACAAAGCAAGACUGUGGGCUGGAGCUACUGCUGUGGUGUUGGAG